CACGUAGGCGGCAUGGUAAGUCAAAGGUGAAAGCCCUCGGCUCAACCGAGGAACUGCCUUUGAAACUGCUUUGCUUGAGUCCGGGAGGGGGGAGCGGAAUUCCCAGUAUAGCGGUGAAAUGCGUAGAUACUGGGAGGAACACUGGUGGCGAAGGCGGCUCCCUGGACCGGUACUGACGCUGAGGUGCGAAAGCGUGGGUAGCAAACA
rnacentral:rRNA from 1 species